rnacentral:tRNA from 1 species
GGUAAAAUGGCUGACAAGGGUAUUAGACUGUAAAUCUAAGAAUGGGGGUUUAAGUCCCUCUUUUACCAA